rnacentral:rRNA from 1 species
GGAUUAGAAACCCUGGUAGUCCUUACCGUAAACUAUGUAUACUUGGUGUAACCGGACUCAACCCUGGUUGUGCCGUAGCUAACGCGAUAAGUAUACCGCCUGGGGAGUACGCUCGCAAGGGUGAAACUCAAAAGAAUUGACGGGGACCCGCACAAGCAGUGGAGCAUGUGGUUUAAUUCGAUGCAACGCGAAGAACCUUACCCAGGCUUGACAUACAGUGGACAGUAGUGGAAACACUACCUCUCUUCGGAGCCGCUGAACAGGUGCUGCAUGGCUGUCGUCAGCUCGUGCCGUGAGGUGUUUGGUUAAGUCCAGCAACGAGCGCAACCCUUAUCACUAGUUGCCAACACGUAAUGGUGGGAACUCUAGUGAGACUGCCUGGGUUAACCAGGAG